GACCCCGUUUCAGCCUUGAGAAGUAAAAUUGAAGUGAAACUCUAGUGAGCUGAAGCUAUUUUUGUGCGACGGGAUAAGAAAAGCGAGCAUAUCAGAUUUUUUUGAUUUGCUAGAGGUUAUUAUUUUUCCAUAAAAAGAGGCGUUCAGUAGCUUAAAAGGGGGGGUCAAAAACAGAAAAGGAAGAAGAGCAGGGGGUCGUGGCACUUCAGCAAGGAAAAAAGUUCUCUAAUUGAACCAGCAAGUGUCGAUCAAGCAACUGGAAUAGCAGUCAAAAUUUCAGCUAGCUAAGAGGAGGGAAGCUCGACAAUUUGAGAAGUUUUCUUUUCCAAGAUUCAGUUCGUAAUUCAUGUUGUUUACAAUUGAUUCUCGUUUUGUUUUACUCGCUAUGAGUGGCUAAAUUACUUAAGCUUAGUUAGACACUUAUGAAACCGAGCACAAGGGAUUUGACGAUUUAUUUUGUUUUAAAUUCAAAUUCGGUAUUCUUGAAUUGUUUGUUUUAUUAUUCACGGAAUUUUUCUAAAUCAAUUGGAUUGAUCACCUAUUUAAUUUAGGAAUUUUCUUAUAAUCAUCUAAGUGCAAAUUGAGUAAUCGAAUUUCUUAAUUAAACUUAGAAUUGGUGAUGAUUAAUUGGCCUGCAAUUAAUUAAAACAACUACGGAUUUAAUUUUAGAAGCCGCUGGUGAAUUUUCUAUGGUUAAUGCUAGGUGAAGUCCCUAAAAUACUAAAUGCACCUUUAAUAAGUCGAAAAAGAGAUAAUUAAAGGUAGGUUUUCAAUUAUGAAUGUUAUCUAAUUGAAUAAAAAUUUACUGGGGAUAGGAAGUCGCUUCGUAAGUGAUUUUUCAGCCUUGUUGCCGAAUUAGUCUACUAGGAUAAUUUAAGGUCGCAAAGGACUUGUGCUUGGCGGAUUAAGGAGUCAAUAACAAAGCAUUCUUUCUCUUUAUUUUGAUAAUUUUUAGCAUUCGUAAUAUAGAUUUAAACUUGUUCGUUACUUAGGUUAUUUUUGGCAAACAUAGAAGCAUAAACCCCCCUUUUUCUUUCCUGCAUGCGUUUCACAUUACCUUAAUUUCAAUUCUCUUCAAAUAGGUUUAAUGCGAGAUUCUUCGUGGGACGAUUCCCUAUUUACUUUAUAUUACCAGUUAAUAUCUGUUGAAUAGCGGAUUUAAUUCGGUAGUCAUAACAACAGCUACCAAUGGCAAUGUGAUUCACAUGAUAGGAAAAUUACUUUCCCAUGUAGAUUGGAAAAUUUAAAAAAAAAUAUUGAGACAAAAUUAACUCUAUUUUAUAUUAGUUUAGGAUAUUAGUCUAUUAAUAAACGUAAAAGAAGAAGAAGCAAUUGUCUUCUUCUGUUGUCCUACUACGUUUUCUUUUGUUACUUAAACAGAUUCUUUACAAUUAUUAUAUAUAAAUAAUUUUUUUCAAUUUAUUCAAAAAAAUUAUAUAUACAUCAUUUUGUAUGUACAUUAUUAUAUUUUAAAAAUAUAUGUAGGACAAAUUUGAAAUAAUUUUACUUUCAAUUAAAGUAUAAAUUAAAAAAAUCAAUUAAAUUUUAUUAUUAAAUAUUUAAUCCAAAUAUUUUUUAAGAAUAAAAUUUAUUAUAGAAUUUAAAUACAUGAGUAUAAUAUUUUAUUUAAUAAGGUUAAAUUUAUAGUUAUCAUUACAUUUCUAGGAAAGUACUUAGUAAACCAAACGUGAUAAUGUAAACUUCUUUGGAAUUUCAAUCAAUACCUUCCAAUGUAUACCAAACAUUGAAAGGUAACUUUCCCAACAAUCACAUUCCAUUGGAAUCAUAACAUGGAAAGUGCCAAAUGCUACCUAAGUGUAGGGGCAUUAACAAUUGUAGUCUAGUGAAAAACUCUUCCUUUAAGGAUCCUGACACACAUAGAAUUAGGAUUCAUUAGGCAAUGUCAUGCCUAUUUUACAAGGCAAUAUUGAAUUUAUUGAAGUCUUUAAACCAUAUUCUUUUGUACUUUUUCAAGUUUGUUAGUGUUGGUAUGUAGAGAUUAAUAAACUUAUGAGAAAUUAACUAAAGGUUUGAAGGCAUGUAACCAUACCACUUUCUUUAGGAUUUUAUUUGCCUCCACCUAUAUUUUGGUAUGCAAAAGAGUUACUAGCAAAUGAACUUCGAUAAUACAAUAAAGUCUAAUGAUUGUCUAUAUUUUGCAUUGACGAAAAUAGUCUACUAAGCAUUAAGCAGAACAUUGUAAGAGUAUGUUUCAAAUUCUAUAAAGAAUAAAUAUUUGAAUAUUAAAAGUUGGAAGAGAAUAGAGAAAUUUUUUCCAAACUUUUUGGUUUUUUUGUGUGUGUCUUAUGCAAAUGAAACUUCACUCUUAUUUAUAGGAGUUCUCAUGUCUCUUCAUAGAUAUAUAACUAUCCUAUAGGUACCCUUUUUUUGGAUAGACACAUCUCUUAAAUAAGGAUAUCUAUUCAACCAAGUGACAUAACUUUUGGUAUUCAAGAGACAUAACUCAUCACUAUGAAAAGUGACAACUCAUUACCAAAAUUUAUAACUUUUGGUUACAACUUUUCACUUGUAACAAUUGAAACACUAUAUAUAUUUUGAAAAUGUUCCAACAAUUAGUUUGUUAUUUGUGUCACCACCAUUUCCCCACUAGAACCUGCUAAUAAUUGCAUUUAAUUUGGAUUGGAAUGUGGUUGAUAUUUUGAAGCAAUUCAUGACAUAUGCAAGAAUAACAGUUGCCACUAGUUUAACCAAAACCUUCAUUCCAACCAUAAAAAGCAUUUUGCCUUUCCAACCCUCAUCUUUACACUAAUUUUAUCAAUUAUGAAAUGGAAUGUUGCUUUCCUCCUCUUUCCCCAAACAAUAGGGAAAACUCCAUGUAACAUGUCUCAGCAAUAUCAAUAGAGAUUCAAAACUUUUCUUUAAUCAUUGUUUUAUCUUUUUUUGCAAGUGUUGGAAGAGAAAAUAAUAAUUAACGUAGUAAAAUUGACUAAUUAUCUUAUAAUAUUUUAGAAUAUCUAGAUAAUUUCCAAAUUUUUACCACUAUUUUAUCAUUUGAUUAUGCAAAAAUAAUGCAUUUAUCAACAAAUAGUAAGUGGAAAUUGUCUAGCAAUACGAGUUACUUUUGAGAGAAUUAAGAAAACCUUCCUAUUCAACUUUCUCAAAAACCUUUGAAAGUGUAUUAGUCACAAUAACAAACAAAAAAAAAAAAGGAAAAGUUCCCCUUGACAUAUUCCUUUUAUUGAUUUGAAGACUUGUUCAUGUCCUUUCUUUAAAGUGAUCGAAAAGCCCAUUAUGGUGAUGUAUACCAUAAUCUUGUCCACUCACCUAUUACUAAACCCCAUUUUUAAAAGAUUUUGUCCAAAAACAACUAGUUACAUUUAUCGUAGGCUUUCUCGAGAUCAAUUUUAAUGGCCACCACUCCUUUCUUACCUUGAGUUAUUAUGUUAAUGGUGCCAAAAGCCUCAUAAGCAACAGUCAUUUUAUCCUGGAUUUGUCGAUACGAGACAAAACUUGUUCGAGCUUUGGUAAAUGUUCUUUCUAAAAAAUGAUCGCAUUGAAUAGUCAUAAUUCCAACAAUAAUCUUAUAAGCAAAGUUGCAACACCCAAUUGGCCUAAAGUGAUUGACAAAUUCCAGACAGUAUUUCUUUGGGAUAAAGAAUAAUGUUGGUGGCAUUAAUUCCUUUUGAAAUUUUGCCAUUUUGAAAGAAAUCCUUGGCCAUGUAUAUGACAUCAUGUUUGAUAUCCUCCCAAAAAGUAUGGAAGAAAAGGUUCAAUAACUUGUUAAGUUUGAGUUCCUUCUGAUACAGGAUCAAGUAAGACUUGAGGUGAUGACCAUAUUUAAGGUGUUUUAUUUACGAUAUAUCUCUAAUAAUUAUAUAUAAUCUCAUUUAAAAAAAUAAAAUUUUUAAAGUAAGCUAAACAUCUAAAGUCCUACAUGAUCUCGUAUCACAUUCAUUGCUCCUAAACUAAAAACAACUUGUUUCAUUACUCAUCAUUAAUUUUCAUCUCUAGCUUAUCAUCCAUGUUAUCAACUAUAACUAUUAAUGCAUUCAUUGAUUGUUUCCUCAUAUAUUUUCUUCAUUUUAAAUCUAGUCCUCCAUAUAGCUUCUAAUUUGGUUGAUUCUAUUGUUUCUUUUAUGGUUGGUGGUGGUGGUGUGAAAGAAUGUGGUAUUUUUUUUGUCUCUUUGAUGCAACCAUUUGAUUUUUAACUGUUCGUACCAAUACAUCUAUUCAGUUUCAAUCAGUUUAUUAAGUCUAGUAAUAGCUUCUUUGGUUUCUUAAAUGACAAAGGUAGUCUGUUCUUUCUUUUAAAAAUAUUUUUUCUUAGCUCCAAUAUCUCUUUCCUUAGGUUUCCAAAAAAAAAUUACUCUACUCUUCUAACAUUAUCACUGUAGUAUUAAGUUUCUCAGUAAACAUUGCUUUUAUGCUGCCCCCAUUUGUCUUCCUUUAUGCCUCAUGUAACGCCCUCUAACCGACCCGAUAAACCAGAUCCCAGUAUUAGGUGUUGCGUCCUAUAAAAAAUGUAACUUAAAAUUUCUCCCUAUGUAAAAGUUCUAUCUACGAAUGUGACAGAGUCUCUUAUGGGCGUAUAUUGUAUUGUUAUAUUUACAGGUCAUGAUAAUAAAAUUUCAUCGAUUUCUUUAUUUUAUCUCUCAAUCUACUACAAACACAUUGGAACAUUGCUUAAACAACUUAUGCUCUGACUUGAACUUGCCACUUAACUUCAUCUAUAUGCAUAACAACCCAUCGCACCAGUUCCUUUUGGCGUAACCCUGGCGUCGUCCCUCUUGGUACAUACCUUUUUGUAACUUGAAACAUGAAAUAAACUUUGUAAGUUCAUAAGAACUUAGUGAGUUAAACCUUAAAUACUUGAUUCAUCACAUUCAAGCGUAAUAGAUGCUUUGCACGUUCUACGUACGCCCUUAGACUUUGCCUUAUUCCUUCUAGGGUUACUUCACUAAGAUUUCCUUUAAUAGACUGUAAUUACGCCUUUUUAUUUUAGACCUUUGUCUUUCUCACAGUGUCUUUAAGGAAUCUUCCUUUCAUAUUCAUUAAGCAUUCACUCUUUUAGGCUCUAGAUUCGAGGUCCUAACUCCAAUGACCAUUUCUUUCCUUUAAACGUACUAUACUUAAAAUCUCUUCACUUCCUAUGUCUCUUCUUAAAUUUUAUAUUUACAUAGUCCUUAACCAUUUUUUUACCCUAUUAAUAGGCUUAAAAUCAUAUUUCAUACUUACUGAUUUUUCCACUAUCUUCGUGCAAGGUGUACUUAACACAGAGUUCGCCCAGAUCUUCUUUACUUCAGUGUGCUAUCUAUACAUGCCUAUAACACAUCUCCCACAUUCGCCACUUAUUAUGGUGCACUCUAGCUUCACUAUUCUUUUCUGUUUAUUAUGCGAGGUUUGCCUUUUCAUUACAUACGGAGCCUUUCUUUAAGAAUUCGAAGAAUACUUAGUUCCUUCUACUUGUCCAUACAUUAUCUCUUACACUUACCAUACCUUCAAAGUCUUAUCUUUACUUUGCCUUCAGAGGACCAUUCAUGUCAUUCUUUCAUAAUUCCUUACACGUCAUUCAUUCAAAAUUUACCUUGAAGGCAUUCCUUUACUGGGAUUUCCACAGAGGCCUUCCUUUGAUAAAGAUUGCCACAAAGGCGUUUCCUUGUAGAGAUUUGCCACAAAGGCAUUCUUUAACAAAGGUUGCCACAAAGGCCUACCUUUCCAAAGUUUUGCCACAAAAGCAUCUUUUACAUUCAAUACUAGCCACAAACACUUUCCUGUCCAGAGAUUUACUGCAGAAGUUGUUCUUUACAUCCAGUACUCACCACAAAGGUUUUCCUAUCCAGAGUUUUGCCAAAAAAGUUUUCCUUUACAUCUAGUACUCGCCACAAAGGCUUUCAUGUCCAAAGUUUUACCACAAAGGUUGUCCUUUACAUCUAAUACUUGCCACAAAGGCUUUCCUGUCUAGAGUUUUGCCAUAAAGCCUAUCCUUUUUUGAGUGUUAUAAAUGAUAGGGAUUUGCCUAAACUCACACUUAGUAAGGUUUGCCCUUCAUCACUCUGGGAAACACAGAGAAUCACAUUAGGUAAUAACCUUCUUUAAAUUUUCCCAUAUAAUUCCAUAACCCACUAGUUAUGGUCUUACACGAUAUGAUCGUUAACGUCAUGUGUCCUUUCAAAGAUUCGUGUUAUCCCCGAUAGACCCUUUUGACGAUUCUAGAGACAAACACAAACUCAUCAUGCAUUGACUCAUCAUACAAUGACUUGCUCAUAGCAAACAUAUUCAUUCUUCCAAACUCAUAUGCACAACAUAACCAUUCAAGUUCAUGUCCCACCCUUAGUCCAUCCAACUUCAUGUAUUUUAUACAUGCAUGAUCUUAAACCUUUCAUUUCAUACCAGAGUUGUUACAUCAUACUUUGUUAGUUUCAUUUUCACUAUUUGGUCACUUGGUAAGAGUUCCUAGAACAUACACACUAAAUGCAACAGUCAGCCUAUGGACUCACCUGAUAACCUCAAAGAGCAUCUUAGCCUUCAGAUCCAUCAUUCAGUAGGAUGCUACAACCUCCUCUACCUUGUAGAAUAGAAACACUUCGUUAGAAUCCAUCUGGGAAACCAUUAUCAUUAUUUUAAACCCAAACAUCUCUCAAAGCCGUGUUUCUUCAAUCAUACUUAUAGAUCUAUACUUCCUUGAUAGACAGAGUCAUGAAAUGUACCUUGUAGUGAAGAAAAUUACUAAAGAUAUCCAAGAUUCCAAACUCGAAUCAGAGGAAUGUUUCUAUCUCUCUUUAGCCCUAAAUAUUUUUAUUUUUCAAAGAAAAAAUAAAAGAAGAUAACCUUUUCUUAAACCAACCAAAGUGCCCUUUUAACCUAACCUAAGUCUCUAUAGGAACUUGGUAAACGUCACAUGAAGAUUGAAUGGCCUUAUUAUAAUCUUCCACCUCUAAGAACUUACUCGAUUACACCUUUAGCCUUUAACCCUUCUAGUAACUACCUUUCCUCACAAUUUAACUGUCAUAGGACCACAUUGGUCACUUGAUAUACUAUAUCACUGGCAUAGACUCAUACCUUAUAACCAUUCCUUUCAUAAUUAUCACUUCUAUUUCACUUAUUAUCGUAAUCUAUUGGGGAGUCCUUGUCAAUUUAUUAUCAUGUUAGAGUUCACCCGUUCUAUACAUCGAAAAGGUCUUUUGGGCAAACACUUAUUCGCCAAUAGUACUUCUUUAUGCUAUACACCAUAUUCAUAUAUAUAUAUAUCAACAUUCAUUAAUUCGUUAUACUUCCCUUUCUUUAGAGUUAGCCAUAGGCUUUGUUCUUUUAGAAUAUCCUAUACAUUGUCUAUACCAGAGUUCACAUGGUUUCCUUUUUUUUUUGUUCAAAGUCCGCUAGACCAGGGCAUCACUAAUGCAUUUGGAAAGUCCUUACUUUUAAUCGAGUCCUAACGUUGAACACUUGAAACUUGCCCUUAAGCCUUACUUUUAUAAACGCCACUUAAAUAGUAGGACUUCGCUAGCGGGAUGUUACAACUCAAUAGUGAUAUUAGUGUUAUCCUCUUCUAAUAGCCAUUUUGCUUCAAAUUUGUAGUUCCCCCAUUGUUUUUUGUUGGAAAGUAAUAUUAUGAUUUAGUUGUGAUUCAAUUCAACUGUAACACUUGAUUUCCAAUAAACUUGAAAUUUAGAAUGAAUAAGAGACCAAAUUGAAAGAAGCUGCAAGCUGACGACCUAUAUUGGAAGAAACUGGAAAGCUAGAAACCAAAUUAGACAUUGUUAGAUCCAAUUCUAGUUUAGUUAAAUAGAACCCGCAGGUUCUUUAGUGAAAAACAUAAUAAUUAGCCAUGGACGACUCUUAUAUGAUGAGAAUUAGCAUGGAAACGUCUAUAAAUAGUUGGAAACUAUAACACCCUCUACUCGGCCUGGUUGCCAACCCGAAUAUUAGCAUGCCCACCACCGUCUCAUAACAUAUAUAGUACAAAUGAAAUCAUUCUUAAAGAAACUUCCUCUAUUUUUAACUUUUACACGAGUUUUAAGUCAAAUAGACUCAUAAUUAUCAUUAAUACAUGCUAACACACAUCAAAUGGUCUUAUAAAUAUAAUUAGACAUGCAUAAGGACCACAUAUCAAAAUUUCCCAAAACAAUUACGCUGGUAUUGAUAUUGAAACAUAGGUAUCAGUAUUUCCUUUAAAUGGUAUCAAUACCAAUUGGAAAAAUGGUACCAAAACAACAUUCUAUUUCUCAUCUAAAAAUUAAAUCCCAAAAAAUAUCGAUACAUUUCUUGAAGUAUUGAUUAUUUUACCUCGAGUAUCGAUACUCGUGAUAAGAUAUCAAUAUCAAAUAACAAUACUAACUUCCUACAAGUGAAAUAUCAUAGAUGAAUCAUUUUUAAAACCCAAAUAAUUAUAUCUCUGCUCCAGACACAAAAAAAUACAGCAUAAUAAGGCAAAUAAUCCAUCCCAAUCAUAAACCAUUCAACAUGUAACUAAUACCUCGUCAAAUAAACAUCAGAAUGACCAUAGUAAUAUUUCAAUAAUUAAAAACAUGUCCGAGUAACCAAGCGCUAUAACAAGAACAAUAUCCAUAAAUCCUAUGAAUUAUUAAGUUAUGCAAAUAACCAAAACAUCAUGGCAACAUUGUGUAAUAGUUCUACCACAAUGCCUCUAUUUACCCAAAACAUAAACAGAUAAAUAAACACCUACGACUAAUUCUCAACAUUUAAACUACACAAAACUACUCAAUUCAUAGUUUCAAAAUUUUCAACAUGUUUAUGGAAAUUUUCACGAAAUUCAUUAAAACUUAAGAAAUCUUUAACAAAACUUCAAAGUAAGUUUAGAAACCUUUUAAUCUCAUCAAAACUAAUUGAAAAACUUUUUGAAACCACGUUUUUACCCAAAAUCUCAAAAUCCACCAUUAACAAUCCAAUUUUCAGCUUUUAUUUAAAACAUGCGAUUUAAUAGUUAAAAACUCAAUUUAAAGGAUCAAAUAAUAUAAAAAAAUAAUAGAAAGAUGAACGAUUACCUUCGAUGAUGAAAAGUUGAGCUUUUGAUCAAAAACCCGAGAAACCCGAAAACUCAAUAAUGGAGAAAUCCAUAAUGUUUUAAGUGUUUUUCUUGAAAUACUAUAGAGGUUUUUGCUUGGGUGAUGAUAAGAAUCAAACGAAUGAAGUUUGAGAAUUAAAAAUGGAGAAAUAGAGCUUAGGUAACUCAAGGAGCGGCACAAAACAAAUAACAGAGAAAAAUAACGUGAAACAUGUAGGUGGGGGGAAGAAAUAGAUUUAUUUUUAAAGUUUUAGGUUCUUUUCCCUUUUAGUACUCCUAGUUUUAACCCUCAUUUCAAAACAGUCUUUAUUUUAAAUUUGAAAGUCUUUUCAACAUCUUUUUUAAAAAGUUGAUUUAAUUUUCUAAAAACCAUAGUCGAAAACAUUUUCGGUUGCCAUGGUUCUGAAAUUCCUGAGCACACUAAAGCUAACAUCCCGAAUAUACCCCUAAAACUCCUAGGCCCAAUUUUGGGGUAUGACAGAAAUGGCUUCCUAGAUAUGAUUUUCUUUCUGACCUUAUCUUAAUUUCACCCGUUCUCCAUCUUUUUCAGGGUUGCUCAAAGAAGUAGCCAUGGAAAGCUUUGCAUGAAGCAGACUUCAUAUGGAUGAAGCUAGAAAAGUAAGAAAACCAAAAAAAGGAUAAGGCUCUAAACCCUUCUAUGCAUUUAGAAUUAAGUUAUGGACAUUAGAAUCAUUUUAAGGGUUCUGCGUGCUAUGAAAGCUUAAGUUUUUAAGAUGUAGCAUAAUUUAACAGUAGUUUUUUCGUUGUAAGCAAAUGGAAAGGAAUAGCCCUGGUGUUCGAAAGAAGGGAAUAGCUAUGGAGACGAUAAAGUUUAAGUUCACUUCUAGACUCCAGCUUGUUAUUCAAGUUUAUACUGUUUAAGUAAGGCAUGUUUGCAUGAGCAUGAUAAUAUGGUGUUAUGAGCAUCAUUGCAUUACUAUGGGAAAACCUACAUGGGAUAGAUGAAGUUAGGAUAGGAAUGGAGAGAGAAUCUUUAGCUAUCGCAUCAGGCGAAGCUCCGGACCUUGCAAAGGGAACAUUGCAGUGUUUGAGCAUCAAUGUUAGGUGGUGUUAAGGAGAUAAUUGAAGAAGGAUUUCAGAAAUGAAAUCAUGGAAAAGUAUUUACCACGACAACGGUAUCGACUGGUCUCUUAAGGCGACAACAUGACGACGGUAUAUGGCGUAAUACCAUAGAUGAAAGAGGCUAUAACAAUCUAAAUAUACGGCACGUAGCGUAAAACCAUGGAUGAAAGACAUCAUAGCAAUAAGGUAAAUAGUAUAAGGUAUACGGUGUAAGAAUAUAGAUGAAAGAUGAUAUAAUAGUUAGGUAUGAUGAGUAAGACCAUGGAUGAAAGACUCCAUGGAAUUAUAAGGUAAUAUGCAAUAAUGAUGAAUCAGUGUAAAAACAUAGAUGAAAGAAACCAUGGCCUCCAUAGAGAUGAAUUCUGUCGGGACAGUAAAUACAGAAUAGAGUAGGUCCGUCAAGAUGGUAAGCAUGGAAUAGAGAUAAUCCGCUAGGAUAGUAAACACGGAACAGAGAUGAGGUUCGUUAGCUCAGUAAACACGGAUAAGUCACUGGGAUGAGAAAAAAAAGUAAGAAGGCUAUGAGACCAACGUUUGGCUACGGCAUCCCAUAGAGUCUUCCAUGAGACAAAUGUAGUGAGUACGUCAUGACCUCAUGUGAGAGGCAUGUGCCCAUACGCCAAGUAUGAGAAACCACGCAGGUGAAAGUAGAGUUUAAAGAAAGCGUAAGUAAAGUAAGCAAAUCAUAAGGUAUCCGCUGAAAUGUUGAAAAUGGUAAAGGUAGAUAUGAAAGCCAAGAAGGCAAGGGCAAAUACACUAUGAGAAUUAGAGAAAUAUAGGUUGUAUAGGAGCUGACCUAAGUACUGGAAAGUAAGAGAAGAUCGAAUGUCUGUCAAAGCUAUUGUAACGCCCUCAACCCGAUCCAUAUUGUUAUUUCACUACAUAUAACAUCCAGAUGAACUUCAUAAUAUGCUAUAUCAGAAUCUCAUAAUUCAAAAUAGCAUUACUCAGAUCCAAAAUAAUUUUAGAAGAAGAUGAAAUACCAUUUAAUUUUCCUAUUUACAUUUCAUUGUGACAGAUAUUCAUCUCAAAAUACAGAUACAAAUUUCUUUUUCAUGGAAAAACCCAUCAAGUUUAGUCCAUCAUAACCUAGAACACAUAAAUACUUCACCUUAGCUUUACUUAUUACAGAACUUAAAGAAUUUACUCAUACCUUACAAUAGAGAUAAACAUUCAAAUUCAAAUCUUAUCAGACAUCCCUGACAAUUCAUGUCACAUCUCGAAAUUGGGUCUAAAAGUUUUGAGGGCAAUUUUGGAAUUAUGGCCUAAAAUUGGUUUCAAGAAUUCAAAUCUGCAACUCAAAAAUAACUUUUUCUAUGACUUUUGGAAAUUUAAACCGAUUUAUGAAAAUAAUAUGGAAAAGACUUUCAAUUUUAAAAAGAGAACUGUUUUGUAAAGGCUUUAAUUUAAGAGUAGCUUAUAAAAAUUAUACCAACUUUUAAAAAUCAGCCCAUUUUCUCGCUUUCACCCUACUAUUGACGUGAAAAAAAAAAUAAAGAAUAGAAACAUUCCCUUCCCCUUCUUAUCGUCAAUUGAAAUCCCCAAAACCCCAUUCAUCAACUUUCAUCCUCAAAACUCUAAUCCCUUUUAUUUUUACCAUCUUUCAAACACCAUAUCUUUUCUUCAUUCAGAGAGGGACAUUAAGAACACCAUUAAAGCCAUUGUUAUUCAUAUUGUGGGUUUAACUGGAUUUCAUCAACCAUUUGUUUUUCUCCACAAUCAAGGUAAGGUCUUGUAUUCUUAGUAGUUUUUAUUGUAGUCUAACCAUUUAAAUCGAGUUUUAAAUCAGUUGAAACAAGGAUUUUUCAUUAUUAGCCAAAAUUAGGAUUGUUAAUGGCAGAUUUUAUAUUUUUAAAUGAAACUACUGCUUCUAUGUAGUUUUUAAUUUUUUAUGUGAUUACAAGGUUUAUAAACUCGUUUUAAAGUUUCAUUAAAAGAUUUGAAGGUUUUGAUUAGUUUUCGUUAAAAAUGGCCAUGGAUGUCAAAAUUUUUAAAAUCAUAAGUCUGAGGAGUUUUGGGUGAUUUUAAGGUUGAGAUUUGUUCUUAGAUAAGUAAUUAGAUGUUUAGAAUCAAUUUUAAGCGGUAUGAAUGAAUUUGAACUAAGAUAUUUGUGUUUCGGCUAAGCUAAUCGAAAAUUUUAGUUCCAAGUGGAACUAACUUUAGAAUUGUGUUUUUGUUUGAUUAAUGAGUGUUAUGACUGCUAACUAAUUGUGUAUGUUGUGUGGUUAAUAUGUGAGAAGAUUUGGAACCGUUGGAGCCCUCUUCGAGCAAGA
rnacentral:lncRNA from 1 species